CAAAGCACUUAACUCUUGACGUGCGGGAGUUAAGUGGUAGAUCACAUGUGGGUGUGGCGCUUAGAUGUUAUUUACCUGCAAAUGUAUCCUAUUGGACGGGUCGUGUGGUAGUUCGUGGUGGUGACAGCUUCGUUGAUUCUUAUAUAAUCCACCCUCUGUUAGUAGGACAAGUAGAAUUUGUAUUGCGGAAUAAGUCUUGUUAUGUUCUGAUUUACUUUAGCAAUGUUCCUUAAACAUGAAUGAAGAGUCUUUUGUGCUAUAUAUGAUCUUGUAGAUGCCUAG
rnacentral:lncRNA from 1 species